GCUACGGGAGACGAAGAGGGAAAAAUACAUGCCAUUUUGCCUUCAUCAGUUCUCCCCUGAUUUACUGGUCUUUCCAUAACAUGUGCAACAUGUGCUUGAUGAUUGUUGAACAGCUCAUAUCACCACCAGGAAUGUGGUUAUUGGAAUGGAGAGGGCACCAGAGGAGAAAGAAGAGUGUGACAGCAGAGGAUGACAAGAUAUUGAUUGAGGAUAUCAAAGGAAAGAUAUGUAUGAAAUAUUUUGAGGGACUGCUGAGUGUACAAGAGAACUGGAAGCCUGAGAUGGAUGCAAUACAACUAAAACAAGGAAUUAAUUAAUGUUUUGAUAGAUUUAAAUGGUAAAAAAAAAAAAAAAAAAGUGAGUGAGAGAGAAUGCUGAUGGAAGUGCAAAAGGCAGUGAAAAGCCAUAUAAGAUGGGGAUGCUGCAGGUUUGGAUGGAUAUAAUUUUUAAAGAGUGGUGGUGAGACUUGUUUACUGGUCAGUAAGAAUAAUGAAUGUAUAAUACUUCAUAAGCAGCAUGACAUCAAUUGUUAGGAAUAAUUGAUAUGGUUCCUUAGUAUAAGUGCAAGGAUAAAUGUAUAAACUGCUACCUUUAAUGAUACUGUAAAAGUCUUGUAUGUUAGAAUGUGCAUAGUAAUGAACAUCAAAAGGCUACAUAAGGAAGCAAUUUUUGAGGGUUGCCUUUACUGUGAGAUGAAUGUGUGAAAGGUAUAUGGCAAAAGGUAAUAAUGUGUUUUGGGUAUGCAUGAAUUUCAAGAAAGCAUAUCAUUAAUUAAAAAGGUAGAGAAAGGCUGUGGACUAUUCUUAAGAUUGUAUAGAUUAAUAAAAAUGCUUUUAUGAAUAGUAAAACAGUUUUAGGAAGAAAGUGGUGGGGGUCACUAGUAUCCUAUUUCUAGGAUUAUGGCAAGAAGGAUUGACGUUGUCUUGGUUUUUCAGUAUUUAUGUGAAUGAUGUUACAUGGAAGAAUAUUCAAUAAAAGUUUGGAUCUGAUGAAUGCUGAUGGUAGAAGUUUAAGAAGGGUGUCUAAGGAGAAAAUUGAGUGAUAGUGUAUGAGGAUGACAAAUGGUAGAUUAAUCUUGUUUUGAAUGGUAAAUUGCUUCAGGAGGUAGUCUCACAUAUAUUGAGUGGUAUGUUGCUGUGGAUGGAGGGAUGUAUGUAAAGGUGAAAUCUUAACUGAAUGAAAUGAGAAAGGUGAGGGGGAGGAAUCAUUGAUGUCCUAAGUUAUACAUAGAUUAUACUUAUAUGUAGUUAUAUGCAAUUAUACUUACAUUGAAUGCAAA